rnacentral:tRNA from 1 species
GUGGCUGGAGAGAUGGCUCAGCGGUUAUGAGCAUUGACUGCUCUUCCGAAGGUCCUGAGUUCAAAUCCCAGCAACCACA